CAGUUGUCGUGCCAACGGCAUAGCUGGGUAGCUAUGUGUGGACGGGAUAAGUGCUGAAAGCAUCUAAGCAUGAAGCCCCCCUCAAGAUGAGAUUUCCCAACUUCGGUUAUAAGAUCCCUCAAAGAUGAUGAGGUUAAUAGGUUCGAGGUGGAAGCAUGGUGACAUGUGGAGCUGACGAAUACUAAUCGAUCGAAGACUUAAUCAAAA
rnacentral:rRNA from 1 species